UGGGGAAUAUUGGUCAAUGGGCGGGAGCCUGAACCAGCCAAGCCGCGUGAGGGAGGAAGGCCCUAUGGGUCGUAAACCUCUUUUGUCAGGGAACAAAAGCGAGUAUGUAUACUAGUCUGAGUGUACCUGAAGAAAAACGCAUCGGCUAACUCCGUGCCAGCAGCCGCGGUAAUACGGAGGAUGCGAGCGUUAUCCGGAUUUAUUGGGUUUAAAGGGUGCGUAGGCGGCGGUGCAAGUCAGCGGUAAAAGCCCGGGGCUCAACCCCGGCGAGCCGUUGAAACUGCAGUGCUAGAGAAGCGAGAGGUACGCGGAAUGCGCAGUGUAGCGGUGAAAUGCUUAGAUAUUGCGCAGAACUCCGAUUGCGAAGGCAGCGUACUGGCGCCUGACUGACGCUGAGGCACGAAAGCGUGGGGAUCGAACAGGAUUAGAUACCC
rnacentral:rRNA from 1 species